UGCUCGCUUUGGCAGCACAUAGGCUAAAUUUGAACGGUACAGAGAAGAUUAACAUGGCCCCUAUGCAAGGAUGACACCAUAUUUCUGCUGUCUCAGACUGAA
rfam:Tupaia chinensis contig26245, whole genome shotgun sequence.